ACUCAAAGGAGAAUACAACCCACUCAAAGGAGAAUAUAGCCCACUCAAAGGAAAAUACAACCCACUCAAAGGAGAAUAUAGCCCACUCAAAGGAGAAUAUAGCCCACUCAAAGGAGAAUAUAGCCCACUCAAAGGAGAAUACAACCCACUCAAAGGAGAAUACAACCCACUCAAAGGAAAAUACAACCCACUCAAAGGAAAAUAUAGUCCACUCAAAGGAGAAUAUAGCCCACUCAAAGGAAAAUACAACCCACUCAAAGGAGAAUAUAGCCCACUCAAAGGAGAAUAUAGCCCACUCAAAGGAGAAUAUAGCCCACUCAAAGGAGAAUACAACCCACUCAAAGGAGAAUACAACCCACUCAAAGGAAAAUACAACCCACUCAAAGGAAAAUAUAGUCCACUCAAAGGAGAAUAUAGCCCACUCAAAGGAGAAUACAACCCACUCAAAGGAAAAUACAACCCACUCAAAGGAAAAUACAACCCACUCAAAGGAAAAUACAACCCACUCAAAGGAAAAUAUUGUCCACUCAAAGGAGUUAUUGCAAUUGUUUUGAGACAUCACUUGCUGAGGACAUGUGAAAAUGUUGGACAACACACGGAAAAACCAGAGCCGUGAUUCAUUAUGAUCCAAAACACACAACAUAAUCUACUGUAACAUUGAGUACGUUUACAUGCACAGUAAUAAUUCCAUUCUAACUGAUUAUGGCAGAAGACAGACUAUGAAAUAGUCAUGUAAACACCUUCCUCUGCUUAUCUUAAUCAGCGUGAGGUCAAAAUCAAAGUAAGCAUACGGCGAUUUAAACACCUGGUUGUCUGAGCAACGGUUCAAAUUAUUAGGACAUGUAAACACCUUAAUCGACGUUCCAGCAGUGUAAUUGAUUUGUGUAUGUGCUAGCACCAGCCGAGAGCCUCCCUCUUUAGUGCGAGGGAAGUGAGUUCAGAACAACUGAAUGCAUGUGUCUUAAAGGUAGUUUUCACAUAAAAACCUUUAUAUGUCCGAAAUCAGAAUCAAAUAUGUUUUCCAGAAAUAAUAUCUUCGUUGUGGUAGAACGUUUAUUUUCAGAUUGCCAUCAGGUGGCCUGAUUUCAGAUGUGUCCAUGUAAACAGGUUUAUUAGGGAAAUCGUUCUUCUUGCAAAGCAUGUUAACGUUUUAAUCAAACUAUUAUAUUAAUCUGACUAUCCACAAUAAACACAUUAUUGUACGUAUGUAACCGUACUCAGUGUCGUUGUCAGGUAAAAGUGCAAAUCUUGUGGGAGGGCAGUGAAGACAAUCAGUGCUACAAAACUGGAGGAAUAGUGUCCUCAGAACAGACAGCGCUGGCCGCAGUUACAGAUAUGUUCCAGCAGGUGUCUCCACACUCUCUCCCACUGCAGUCCUUCCCAGCCUCCUCACAUCAUAUCACUCCGUCUGCAGCCUACUAAGGGCUCCCGUAAGAGUUUACAAGCGCUACAAAUCCCUCCAAAGCACCGCAGCCUCUCAGACCUGCAACCGCUUAGACCUGCAGCCAGGCAUCCCUGCAACCAGGCACACGUGCAGUCAGGUACAACUGAAGAUAGGCAGACCUGCAGAUAGGCAGACCUGCAGAUAGGCAGACCUGCAGAUAGGCAGACCUGCAGAUAGGCAGACCUGCAGAUAGGCAGACCUGCAGAUAGGCAGACCUGCAGAUAGACAGACCUGCAGAUAGGCAGACCUGCAGAUAGGCAGACCUGCAGACAGGCAGACCUGCAGACAGGCAGACCUGCAGCUAGGCAGACCUGCAGUAGAUCAGUGCACCACUCACAGGGACACACUGACUCUCCAGCCCUCUACCACUGCUCCACUGUCUGACCUUGUGGCUACUGAUGAACUGUCUCCCCUUCCGACCCUAAACUGAACUCUAACUACUACUACAGAACCAGGGAAAGACAAUUAGAAAGAUUGAAAGGGAUGGAGAGAAAUGGAGAGAGAAAAGGAGAGGGCUUGAGCCCCCCCCCUCUCUCCUUAACCCCCAUCUCCUCAACCUCUCUUUCUCUCGGCUCAGCCCCCUCUCUCUGCACAACCUCUCUCUGCCUCUCUUUCUCUCCAUCUCCCCCCUGUAGGCAAUGCCUUUGUUUGUGAUCUCUAUAGCAGGAACCUCCACGUCUGGAGGAAACCAAGCGAGGUGAAAACAUGGUUCUACAGGGAGUGAGGGAGGGAGGGAGGGAGUGUGGUGGGGAGGGAGCUUUGUUGUAGCAUCUUGUUCUGUUUCUGUGAAGUAGGGAGGUUGUGUUAAUUCUUUCUGUCUCACUGUCCAGGUUAACGCAUGGUCCUUCUCUUCUCUCCUCUCCCUCCUAUCUUCCUCUCCUGUCCAUGCGCUGAAUGCAGCAAUCAAUAUUGUCCAGGGAAUGUUAACAUCAUGGUUGCCAUGGAUAGGCCAUUCUAUUAGAGGAAGAACAUUUGUAGAGGUACAGAAAAAGACUCCAUGGACGGUCGAAUGUGUGUGUGUCUGUCUCUCCAUAUCUCACCUCCACAUGAGGGUCUGAUGUACCGACGGUCGCAGGUGGUAGACGUGAUUACUGACGGCGAGGUUGUGUUCCAACCGGAAAGGUUCCAAUACCACGCCGUCCCGGACCGGGAAGGUCAACCGCAGCUCCUCGUUGGGAUUGGCUGAUUGGAGCGGAGAGACAGGACAGUAAGAUAGGACGUCAGCUUUCCGUUUAAAUGUAUCUGUGGUAGUGGGGUUAGAGUUGUAUACUGGUUGAUUAACAGUCACACAUACAGUAGACAGUGGCUGGGGCACUGGGAUAUCACUGGGUGGUAUUACCCUGACUAACACGUGGCUGUACAUUCCUAAGGUUAGAUGCUAUAGGAGUCAACAACAGCCAUGUAUUAGGGCAGCAUGUAGUAGUGAUCAGGGUUGGGCUCAAAUCCAUUUCAUUUCCAGUCAAUUCAGAAAGUAAAACAAAUUCCAAUUCCAAAUGUUCCCAAUUAAAAAGCAUUGAAGAGAAUUGGAAAUGUAGUUUCAUUGUACUUCCUGAAUUGAAAAGGAAUUGAGCCUAACCUUGGUGAUGUAGUGGACUAGUCGUGUCAGUGGCUUUGUACUGUAUCUCAUGAAAUAGAAGCAUCAAUGUUCUGCUAAUACUUGUUGGACAGGCUUUGUUGUAUUUUCAGCCACAGGUAUCUAAGGAGCUACUGACAGCAUGGAAUAGCUCUGCUGUGUGUGUGUGUGUGUGUGUGUGUGUGUGUNNNNNNNNNNCUUCCUCUGCUUAUCUUAAUCAGCGUGAGGUCAAAAUCAAAGUAAGCAUACGGCGAUUUAAACACCUGGUUGUCUGAGCAACGGUUCAAAUUAUUAGGACAUGUAAACACCUUAAUCGACGUUCCAGCAGUGUAAUUGAUUUGUGUAUGUGCUAGCACCAGCCGAGAGCCUCCCUCUUUAGUGCGAGGGAAGUGAGUUCAGAACAACUGAAUGCAUGUGUCUUAAAGGUAGUUUUCACAUAAAAACCUUUAUAUGUCCGAAAUCAGAAUCAAAUAUGUUUUCCAGAAAUAANNNNNNNNNNAGGGAAUGUUAACAUCAUGGUUGCCAUGGAUAGGCCAUUCUAUUAGAGGAAGAACAUUUGUAGAGGUACAGAAAAAGACUCCAUGGACGGUCGAAUGUGUGUGUGUCUGUCUCUCCAUAUCUCACCUCCACAUGAGGGUCUGAUGUACCGACGGUCGCAGGUGGUAGACGUGAUUACUGACGGCGAGGUUGUGUUCCAACCGGAAAGGUUCCAAUACCACGCCGUCCCGGACCGGGAAGGUCAACCGCAGCUC
rnacentral:lncRNA from 13 species